rnacentral:lncRNA from 1 species
CAAGGUGACCGGGAAGAAGAAGACGGAUGCGGAAGGGAAGCAGAGGUGCCAAGUCUUUAAUCCUGCUUUUAGCCGCAUCAUGGGGCCUCCGCAGGCAGGUGAGGCUCCGUCCCCCUAGAACAGGAGUCGUGGCAGGCGUGUGCCCUCUGCUGAGCGGCGUGUGGACCUCUGCAAGCCAGUCCCACUGUCGAGGACACAGUCCCAUGUGGCACUUGGAGAAGCUGAGUCCAAGGUCACCAGAUCACAGGAGCUGGCACGGGGACUCCUACUACAUCAGGCUCCGACGUGCACGGAGCCACGCACCUGCCCCAGAGAACCCCACGUGAAGGUCCCCAUGAGGGAGAGACUGAGACCGUGUCCAGAUGAAGGGAUCGAAAAGGCUUCCAGGAAGGGGGGUCCCCAGGGGCCGCAGGUGAGCGGAACUCACAGGCCAAGCGGCGGGGGGUGGGACUGGGCUGCUUCCCCAGGAGCCCGGCCCGCAGGUUACUGGAGAUGCCGACCAGAGUUCCCAGGCCCACAGAGGUCACCCAGGUCCCCUGGGGCCUCGCCAAUGGAGGGGGACUCGCCCAUAGAUAAGGGCAUUUGGGCGACAUCAGAAUGAACCGAUUGAAUCAGGUGCUGAGCCCAGAGCUCUGGAGGGUUGUGGGUGUUGGGGGGUCCCCUAGGCUCUGGCCAAGGAGUGCCUGUCUGAGGGAGGCUCACAGAGUCCCGGCCACUGGACACACUUUGACAAACUUUGCUUGUUUUGUUUUGUUUUUGGCCCUGGGUUGAACCUAGGGCUGUUCUACCACGGAGCCUCGUCCCCAGGACUUUUUAUUUAUUUUAUUUUAUUUUAUUAUUUUAAUUGUUAAGACAGGGCCUCACUAAGUAGCUGAGACUGGCCUUGAACCUGCAAUCCUCCUGCCUCAGCCUCCCGAGUUGCUGGGUCACAGGCGUGUGCCACCACCACACCCAGCAACAAACUAGGCUUUAAGAUGACGAAGCCCUGAAGCCCUCGCUACCCCUCUGUGUCCUGGGACCCUCGGGCUGAGUACAAAGUGAUGUGUGGGUUCCUGUGCGUGUGGGCAUCUGUAGGGUGGAGGCCAUCAGCCCUGAGAGCAGCGUGUGUGGAGAUGGGAAGCCGCUGGAGCCAGUCACAGCAGAACCUGAUGGUGUCCUGGAGGACGGAGUGACCAUAGGGGCAGGAGGAGGGCCUGGGGUCAGCUCAGAAGCCUGUCCAGGAGUAGGGCUAGGAGGGCCUGGAGGGCCCGUGUGCCAGGUCAGGACAAACGACGACUGAAGGUUAAGCGCCAGGGCUCUGCUCAUUUGAGUCCCAGCUGAGCCACUCAGGGCUGUGUGGCCCUGUGCAAGUGCCUCAACCUCUCUGAGUCUCCAUUUCCUGUGUCUAUGGCAGGGAACAUCCUGUCAUUUACCUCCAAGGCUCCUGGUGAAGAUUUAACAGGACAGUGUCAACUCCUCAGCCCACUGGAGAGGGUUGGCGUCCCUGGAAGGGGGCUGCGGGGGGGGGGGGUGUGGAGCCAUGAGGGUCUCACUGCCUCUGCAGGAAGCCCCUUGGCAGCCCAGACAGAGGGGUCAGGAGGGACGAGCCAGCCACCAGAUCUGUGAGGGACCACAGCAGGGCAGAGUGCUUGGUUUGCAUUCAUAGUGACACGUAGGGGACACCCAGGUGCGAGGGAUGCAGUGACAGAGGGCACGAGGCGGGGCCCAGAGCUGGUGCUCCUGGCGCACCUGUGACCUUGCGCUAACACCCGAGCGCUCACUCUCUUGCCACACCCUGUGCCGUGCCCGGAGCAGUGCUGGGUGCUGGGUGCUGGGUGCUGGGUGCUGGGGACUCGUUCAUUGACACCUCACGGCAGCCACGUGCAGCAAGUGUCAUUUUAGGCCUGUUUUUCAGAUGACAAAAAUCAGGCCCAAAGAGGUCACCCAAGUCCCCUGGGGCCUCGCCAAGGUGCGCUUCGUUGAGCCUGGUAGAUGGAGGGCGCUCGACACGGCUGUGUCCUCUGUCCACCUGGGGAGCAGAGACCCAUCGUGAGCGGCAUUGAUGGGUGGGUGGCAGGAGCCUGGCUUCAGGUGGCAAAGAGAACCUGGACACCAACGAGGACAGAGCCACCAGGGGACUGAGCCUCUUGGAGCGGCAGGUGGGAGUCCUGAGGUCAGAGUUCAAGUGCAUCCGUGCUGGGUCCAUCAGGUCAGCUCCAGAGUGGCCACCCCCUCUCACCACGCUCACAAGUGAACCUGUGUCCAGCUGAGCCCACAAAGGUGGGUGGCCAAGCCCACUGUCCCCCAGGCCCCCCCCCCACUCGUGGAGCCCCCGCUGCACCUUGGUGCUUAAGUCCAGUCACAGCUGACUUUAAAUUCAGUCACGGCUGGGACACUAGGGCGGAUCUAGGGGACGUGGUGUCCCAAGGGCUUGGAGGAGCUGUGGAGGCCUCGGGGACCUUGACACGGUGGGAGGAGGCCAAGGACCCUGCAGGGAGGGACUUGGUCACAUGAGGAUCGCUGGGGAAUUCCUGGGGAGGGCUUUCCCAGGGCCAUUCUGGCACCUGUUGACCUUGGCCGGCUGGACAAGGGCGUUUCCAGGAAGGGCCUUCCCCCACCUGAGUGGGCCAGGCUGUGGACAGAGGCUGCCCCAGGGCCUGUGUGGCCCCAGGGCCAAGCCUGAGCCCAGGUGUUCUCCGCAGGGGCUGAGGACAGCCUGCAGGGCCACAGCACAGGGGGGCUUGUGCCAGGGCCACAGGCACAAGAGAGUGGACCUAAGAGAAGGCAGGACAGCGGAAGCCGCAGCCGAGAGCCUCCCAGACGGCUCCCUGGGGCUGGUGCACGUCACAGCGGGGCCUCGGAGGCCCAGUUAGGUCCACUCAGGGCCACAGCGUCCAUCCUGGUCACGGGAAGAAGCACAACCCACCAGAACACUGACGGAAGCUGCCGUGGGCCUUCCCGAGCCCCACAGCAAUAGCCGAGCGAUCCUCUGUGGCUGCCAGUCAGGUGCCCUUUGUCCCCUGUCCCCCAUGGCCCUCUCUCCAGUGGCGUGAUGCCACUUUCAUUCCCAGGGUCAGUAUUAAGUCCUAACACAUUUCCCCACUGUGGUUAAAACAAGUGUCUGAUGGUGCUGGACAUCUGACCACUCACCUGAGGUCACCUGAGGGCUGCUGCUCUCUGGCUGUGUGACCCUGGGGAAGUCAACCCACCUCUCUGGUCACCCUACUUCUCCAAUUCUAAAACAUGUUGUUGACGAUGUUUCCAGGGUCCCUCUGGCUCGGGCACCAAUUCUAAUCAUGGCUAGCUCCGCCUGACAGGGACCAGGACUGAUCUUUGUGUGAAUGUCUUAGCGGGGUGCCCAGAGCAUAGUAGGACCCCAAAACAGUUGGAAUAAGAGAGGCAGCCAACGGAGAGGGAAGGAAAAAGCAAGGGAAGAAGGAAAGACGGAAGAAAGCAAGCGGGGGUGGGGGGCGGGCCACACACAGUGACUCCCACCUGGAACCCGGCUGCUCUGGAGGCUGAGGCAGGAGGAUCGCAAGUUCCGAGCCGGCCUCAGCAACUUGGCAAAACCCUGUCUCAAAACUAAAUAAACAGAGCUGGGGGCAGCGCAGCGGCGGAGCACCUGCCUAGCACGUGCCAGGCCCUGGGUUCCGUCCCCGGCUCCGCAAAGAGAAAACAGGAGGGGGGAGGAGGCUGCAGGGAGAGAGAGCCCCGGGGAGGCGCAGAGGCCAAGCCCCGGAGGUUCCGGUCCUUUGUGUCCCCACCCUCCGGGCCUGGCCUCUGGGUCUGGCCUUGUACUCAGCAGGCCAGCUGACCAUCACGGGUUGAAUCUGAAUGAAGCAGGGUCAGAAGUGGACCCCACGACAGCGGGCAGCCUCCCGGGGACGCUGCGCCAGUCUGCCCAGCGUGAGUCACGGAGCUGUUGUCCUGAACGCGGCCGGUCCCCGCAGGCCCUGCAACCCAACGUGGGGUACCUUUGUAUGUCUGUCGGCAGCCAAAUAAUCACUUUAGAAGCUGCUUCUCUCUUCAAGAGAAAGAGCAGAGAAUCCAAAGGAACCACAGCGAUCUCCAGGUGGCCAGCCACGGUCCUGCAGGGCGGGGACUGGGGACACUGACCGGCCUGUGAGGGCAACUGCAGGGGCUGGGGGAGGCCAGGAAGGGGCAGCUCUCCAGAGACCGGCUUGUCCCCAGUCCCAGUGGCCAUGGGCCACACCAAGGUGGGUCCCUUCUCAGGCCUUGGUGUCCCCACAGGAGGGACUGGGGUCAGAGGACAGAGUCAUCCCAGGGUUUUGCUCACUGGCCCUGGAGUCGGACGAGACUGAAUCCAGCCUCGAAGACGGUGCUCAGGCCUGUGACCUUGGACAAGGGGCCUGGCAUCCCCGAGCCCCAGUGUCUUUGGGGAAAAAUGAGGAUCGUACCAUCCCGCGGAGUUGCCGAGGGACCAAGGUCUGGGAGAGCACUUUUCUCCAGUCUGACACAGUGAACAUCACAGAAAUAGGAUCGGAAUAGCAGGCCAUCCGUCACGAGCCACGCGGAGCCCAACAGGACAGACGCGCAGCCGAGAUGGAUUUCCCCAGAUCCAGCUGCAGACGCCAAGGAGCGGCAACACCCGCAAACACGAGUAACAGCAUAAGAACCAUGUCAUUAAGUCAUGAAUGUUGACACCGGCGGAUGACAGGUAGGUUGGAACUAUUUAUAAGUAACUGCUCAUACUUUGUCGUUUGGAAAAAAAAAAAAAAGAGAUUUUCACGAGACGCAAGAGUCGUCGCGGGUUCGCUCUGGUUUUAGUUAGAAAACAAAGCGCUUUUACGAAUUUCACUCAUUUCCAGGUGUUGAUCUAAUUAAUCAAAGAGUGUCUUUGGACACGCGUGGACCCAUGCAGAGGGCAGCAAGGUGACCAGUUGGCCGAGUGGUCCCAGAGCCCGGGGACCCUGACAAGCUUGGGACAGGGGCUCGUGGACAUUAGAGGAGGUUGCCUGAGCGCGGGAGAGGGAAGGCCCCGGGUGGGUCCCCAGGGUGGUGACCACCUCUGUGCGGCACCGCCUGUAAUUUCAGGUGGAGAGAGACCACAGGGUGCCGUUGAAAGCACCAAGUCACGCAGGGUCAGAGCUACUCCCUUUCCCACCCUAUUUCCGUCCCUCCGAUGACAUCAGGAGGAAAGCCACCGCUCUGCGCUAUUUUCUCAAGACUUCUUAUUUUUAUUAUUUUCCCUUUUUAACCAAGAGCCUCAUGCUCAGGGUCUGUGCCAAAGCCGCAGGAUCUAGCCAGAAUCUAAUUAGCACUGAUUCUGCCCGGGGGUAUUUAUUCCCAUUGAUGGCAUAUGAUCCCGAGUCGCUAUUUAAGGCAGCGACACAACGUUUACUUUGCAACUAAGUUUAUUAAGGUGUUCAGAAAUAUACUGGAUACAGGGGAAAUAAUGGGGUAAACAUAUAGGGACAUGGCAAAGUCCAGACGGUGGUUUGAAGUGGUGGCUGAGUGCUGCAGUGUCAGCGUAGGCUUGUCCCCCAAGGGUGCUCCUGUUGGGGGUUCGAUCCUCAAGGUGGUGAUGUACAGGUGUGGGACCUUUAAGGGGUGGGCUUAGUGGGAGGUGCUGAGGUCACUGAGGUGCUAUCUAUCAGGAUGAAGGCAGUUUCAGGGGAACCCCAGUUACUUCCCUCAAGAGUGAGUUAUUCGUAAAGAACAAGACUGCUCCGUCCCUGCACUCUGGCUUCCUGUCUCACCAUGUGAUCUCCUUCUCUUGCACACACUCUUGCCAGGACACCUUACAGCUUACUGUGACACAACCAAGGGAGCCCUCACCAGGGCCCAAACAGAUGGACCUGCCCAAUCUUGAACUUAGAGCAUUCAAAACUAUGACCUACGUAAAGACCUUUUUUCUUUUAUGUUACCCAGCCUCAGGUAUUUUGCUAUAGCAACAUUAAACAAACUGAUACACAGAGUAUGGAAGCAUCGAGAAGAGGAUCCAGAGAGAUCUAAGGUUGAGAAAAUCCACACUCUUGUGGCCACAAAGAAGAAAAGAUCAGACUUGGGAAGGGAAUGAUAGAAAAUGAGAAGAGCAAAAUCACUUAGGAUCUUAAUUAAAAAGCUAAAUGUAAAUUGUAAAUGAGAGGCAAUAAUGGGUGGACACAUGUCUCCCAAGAGGGACCCAGGUGAACUUGGAUACUGUGCAAAGUCUCUCCCUCCACAUAUGGAAACACGUUCAUGGUCCCAGGAUUCAGGCUUGUCAAUGGCCAUCACAGAGACAGACAUUUGGCAGAAUCUGCUUGUACCUUUGGGCCUGGCAGCCCCGCCCUCUUUGGCUCUCCUGGCUCGGUUGGAGUCUGUGCCAGCCCCUGUAGGCCAGCCUGCCUGUCAGAGACCUGGGGACUGCUCAGUCCAUAGGAGGCCUUGCUGGAGAGCAUAAGGGCAGCAGGAAGAGGGGUCCCUCCUUCCCCUCGGUGCCCAAGACCUGGACUCCGGUAACCACCACCUCCCCCAUUCUCCCUACAGCCUAGGGGCCCUGGCCACGUCCCUCCCCUAUUGCUCACACCCUCUGGUUUUAAUCCAGUUGUCCCUUGGUGUCUGCAGGGGAGGGGCUCCAGGACUACCCCCCCCAGGAUGCAAAUCCCAUGGGUGCAAGUCCCUUAUAAAAAUGGCCCAGUAUUUGCAUAUGGCCAAUCCUCCUGUAAACCGUCUCUAGAUUGUUUAUAUUACCUAAUGCAAUAUAAAUGCUGUGUAAAUAGUUGUUACACUGUAUUGUUUAGGGAAUAAUGACAGGGGGAUAAAGUGUAUGUGUUCAGUACCGACACAAUUUUUGUUUUCAAAUAUUUUCAAUCUGCAGCUGGUUGAAUCUAGGGUGAGGAGCUCUGGGACCAGGAGGGCUGACUACACUGGGGUGAUUUGCUCUUCUGCCUGGAGCCGGUGGAUGCACCUCCCAGAACCUUUAUUUAGUCAGAGACAACCUUAUGUGGCUCUAUGAAAAGCCCUCGUUACACUCAUUAAAUGAUGAAUUUGAG